rnacentral:rRNA from 1 species
CCUACGGGUGACAGCAGUCGAGAAUCAUUCACAAUGGGGGAAACCCUGAUGGUGCGACGCCGCGUGGGGGAAUGAAGGUCUUCGGAUUGUAAACCCCUGUCAUGUGGGAGCAAAUUAAAAAGAUAGUACCACAAGAGGAAGAGACGGCUAACUCUGUGCCAGCAGCCGCGGUAAUACAGAGGUCUCAAGCGUUGUUCGGAAUCACGGGGCGUAAAGCGUGCGUAGGCUGUUUCGUAAGUCGUGUGUGAAAGGCGCGGGCUCAACCCGCGGACGGCACAUGAUACUGCGAGACUAGAGUAAGGGAGGGGGAACCGGAAUUCUCGGUGUAGCAGUGAAAUGCGUAGAUAUCGAGAGGAACACUCGUGGCGAAGGCGGGUUCCUGGACAUUAACUGACGCUGAGGCACGAAGGCCAGGGGAGCGAAAGGGAUUAGAUACCCGAGUAGUC